UGGGGAAUAUUGGGCAAUGGGCGCAAGCCUGACCCAGCAACGCCGCGUGAGGGAAGAAGGUUUUCGGAUUGUAAACCUCUGUCGCAGAAGACGAAGGAAGUGACGGUAUUCUGUGAGGAAGCCCCGGCUAACUACGUGCCAGCAGCCGCGGUAAUACGUAGGGGGCGAGCGUUGUCCGGAAUUACUGGGCGUAAAGGGAGCGUAGGCGGUCUGAUAAGUUGGAUGUGAAAUACCCGGGCUUAACUUGGGGGGUGCAUCCAAUACUGUUGGACUAGAGUACAGGAGAGGAAAGCGGAAUUCCUAGUGUAGCGGUGAAAUGCAUAGAUAUUAGGAGGAACAUCGGUGGCGAAGGCGGCUUUCUGGACUGCAACUGACGCUGAGGCUCGAAAGCGUGGGGAGCAAACAGG
rnacentral:rRNA from 2 species